CAUGUUUUAUGACUGAAGUGUAAACUAAAGAUUACACUAUAAUUAUAGGCCUUACUCAACACAUUCACAAAGCUUUUUGAGUCAAGACCCAUGAGAAUGACUGCUGUAGUCAAAAAUAUUAAUAUCUAGUCAAUGUAUGAUUUGAGCUGUACAUUAGCAUGAAACUUAUAUUACUUUACAUUAUAGUUUACCUUUUUGACGAAUCAAUUUGUGAAGAAAAACAAACUAACCAGGAGUUUUCUUUAUUUUGUAUACCAUAUUGUGAUGGUUUUAAUCUACCGAAGGGAACAUUAAAAACAAAUAAUCAUAAAAAGACCCCUCCCCCUCCCCGGUGGCAUAUAUGCGUUGCGUCAUCCUUGAAUUCCUAUUGGUGGAUUGGCGAAGAUGAAUCUCGAGAGGAGUCGAGACAAAUGACAGUUAAUUUUUCAAACUAAGGAGUCCGCCAUUUCUGCUCGUUCAUACCCUAAGAUAACCAUGGUUGAUAAAUGGUCAGUAGAUGACACGUGCCACUGGCUUCAAACUAUAAACCUCAUUGAUGCAAAAGAAAGUUUCAGAGAUCCUGCAUGAAAUGACAAUGAGGUUUGGAACAGACUUGGCGAAGAACAUGGAAACAUCUCUGAAUGAAAUGGCCCCAGACAUCAUCAGGAGUGCAAAAGAAGGAAGUCAAAAAAACCCUCUACGCCAAUCUUAUUGGACUAGCAGAGGAAACCACAGAAGGUCUCGUUAGGAAUGCUGCACUCAUUUUAUUGCCAGCACUAUUUAAAGAAAACGCCAGCUUCCUCUACAGUGUAGAUAGUGAUCCCAAAGGUGCUACACCAACC